rnacentral:rRNA from 1 species
AACGAACGCUGACGGUGUGCUUUACACAUGCAAGUCGAGCGGUAACACAGGGAGCUUGCUCCUGGGUGACGAGCGGCGGACGGGUGAGUAAUGUCUGGGAAACUGCCUGAUGGAGGGGGAUAACUACUGGAAACGGUAGCUAAUACCGCAUAACGUCGCAAGACCAAAGAGGGGGACCUUCGGGCCUCUUGCCAUCAGAUGUGCCCAGAUGGGAUUAGCUAGUGGGUGGGGUAACGGCUCACCUAGGCGACGAUCCCUAGCUGGUCUGAGAGGAUGACCAGCCCAACUGGAACUGAGCCACGGUCCAGACUCCUACGGGAGGCAGCAGUGGGGAAUAUUGCACAAUGGGCGCAAGCCUGAUGCAGCCAUGCCGCGUGUAUGAAGAAGGCCUUCGGGUUGUAAAGUACUUUCAGCGGGGAGGAAGGCGAUAAGGUUAAUAACCUUGUCGAUUGACGUUACCCGCAGAAGAAGCACCGGCUAACUCCGUGCCAGCAGCCGCCGUAAGAC